rnacentral:lncRNA from 1 species
CCACAUAUAUUUGCUCACACUUAGACAUUCUCACAUGGUAAAUAUUAGGAAAAUUCUACAGCCUAUAUCAUAAACGUUAAUACUUAUAGGAUGAAUCCAAACCAUUAGUGUUUUCUAUGUGCUAAAUCAAGACUAUUCAUUGAAAAAUUACAUUAUAUUUUCACCAAAUUUCACAAUUUAAAUGCCACUUCAAAUCCGGUGCCCGGUGUUGUGGGCUCGGCCGCCUCCGGCAACGGAACCUGCAGGUGAAAGGCGAAACACAGAGCGUCAGAAAGCUGAGUGAAAGGUGAAAGGCGAAACAGUGAUUCUGUAAUUAGGUUCAACUGGUUCUUGCGAUGAACUGAGUCGGUGAGCUUUGUAUGCCACCGCACGAUCUAUCUAGCAAUCAAAAGAAGAAGAGGCACGGCGUAGCGGUGGGGGCGGGUACCUGCGGAUCGGCUUCGGGGAAGACGGACUGGAGCGCCUCGACGGAGUCGAACUCCAUGCUGAUUCCGAGGUCGG